GAUGAACGCUAGCUACAGGCUUAACACAUGCAAGUCGAGGGGAAACGACAUCGAAAGCUUGCUUUUGAUGGGCGUCGACCGGCGCACGGGUGAGUAACGCGUAUCCAGCCUGCCCAUCACUUGGGAAUAACCUUGCGAAAGUAAGACUAAUACCCAAUGAUAUCCCACGAAGGCAUCGGAAUGGGAUUAAAGAUUUAUCGGUGAUGGAUGGGGAUGCGUCUGAUUAGCUUGUUGGCGGGGUAACGGCCCACCAAGGCAACGAUCAGUAGGGGUUCUGAGAGAAGGGCCCCCACAUUGGAACUGAGACACGGUCCAAACUCCUACGGGAGGCAGCAGUGAGGAAUAUUGGUCAAUGGGCGAGAGCCUGAACCAGCCAAGUAGCGUGCAGGAAGACGGCCCUAUGGGUUGUAAACUGCUUUUAUAAGGGAAUAAAGUGGGUCACGUGUGACUUUUUGCAUGUACCUUAUGAAUAAGGACCGGCUAAUUCCGUG
rnacentral:rRNA from 1 species